CUCUGCAAGUCGAGCGGACAGAAGGGAGCUUGCUCCCGGAUGUUAGCGGCGGACGGGUGAGUAACACGUGGGUAACCUGCCUGUAAGACUGGGAUAACUCCGGGAAACCGGAGCUAAUACCGGAUAGUUCCUUGAACCGCAUGGUUCAAGGAUGAAAGACGGUUUCGGCUGUCACUUACAGAUGGACCCGCGGCGCAUUAGCUAGUUGGUGGGGUAAUGGCUCACCAAGGCGACGAUGCGUAGCCGACCUGAGAGGGUGAUCGGCCACACUGGGACUGAGACACGGCCCAGACUCCUACGGGAGGCAGCAGUAGGGAAUCUUCCGCAAUGGACGAAAGUCUGACGGAGCAACGCCGCGUGAGUGAUGAAGGUUUUCGGAUCGUAAAGCUCUGUUGUUAGGGAAGAACAAGUGCGAGAGUAACUGCUCGCACCUUGACGGUACCUAACCAGAAAGCCACGGCUAACUACGUGCCAGCAGCCGCGGUAAUACGUAUUGGCAAGCGUUGUCCGGAAUUAUUGGGCGUAAAGGGCUCGCAGGCGGUUUCUUAAGUCUGAUGUGAAAGCCCCCGGCUCAACCGGGGCACGGUCAUUGGAAACUGGGAAACUUGAGUGGACAAAAUGAGAGGGGGAAUUCCCCGUGACGCGGUGAAAAUGCGUUAUAGAUGUGGGAGGAACACCAGUGGUCUAAAGCGACUCUCUGCUCUCGUAAACUGACGCUGAGAGCGAAAAGCGUGGGGAGAGAAGAGUCGUCAUAGACCCCUGGGUGUUCCCCCCCCUUCUACUACGAAUUUGCGACGGG
rnacentral:rRNA from 1 species